GCGUGGUUAAUGUUAUUUAAAGCUAUAAAAUUGUGAAGGCAUCCCAAUAAAUAUUUUGAGAAUAAUGAUAUUCAUGUUUAACCUUUUUAUCUGGAUAUAAACUGUUCACUAUCACACAUUAGCAUGAGAUUAACUGCUUAUUAAUUCUUCGGACUUCCCCCUUACUUUAUUACACCAAGGGAGCAUGACGGCGGUUUAUAGAGGAGCUAGCUAGGGCUGAAUAGAUUGGACCUGGAGGCAGAUGCAGCCGUCCAACGUAAAGGGAUGGUAGCUUACCUGUUUCAUUUAUCAAAAAGUAUCUUGUGAAAAAGCUGGAUCUUGCUAGCGGGGCUGAGGUGGAGAUCUUGUUGUGGGGUCAGCCAUUGACUUCUACACAGCAACUUCACGACUUGGUAGACAUGUGGUUGCAGACAAAACCAACAUCAGAAAGUAUACAGACAUCUGUGGGUGGCUCAGCCAAGGAUUUUGUGAUGGUUUUGUCAUAUGGUCUGUUAGAAUGCUUUGAUAGAUGUGUUGACAUGGCAGGGUUGAUGACGUGGCACUAGGGUUGACAUGGCACACUGAGAGGUUGACACAUGGCUGCCGGAAGAGAGAGAAAUCGUCUGGCACAUGUGUUACACGCGCCUCUACUGGCGGCCACAAAUUGGCGCGUGACCCCCACACGCAGGAGAUUCUACCGGCGUGUGGAGGCGCGUCCGAUGUGCUAUGGUGGCGUUCUUGGUGGCAAUGUGACUGUAGGCGCCGGAUCUAUGGAGCGGUGCAGAAACCGGGCUGAUCCACCUAACCUAGCGCCACGUGAAGGCACUGCAGCGGCGCGUGGACUGAGAGCAACACCUUAUGGCGGCGCGUGGGGGCGCGUCAAAGUUUCUUUGGCAGAGAUCUCGAUAGAUCUAGACUCUUCUGGCCCUGAUCUGUCGAUUGGCGGUACUUUUGAUGUGAUCGGAGCUUUGUAGAGGCCCAUAAAGGAUCGAACAGAUUCUUAGGUGAGUCUUGUCGGCGCGUGAACUGCUCUUGGGACGCGCGUAGAGGCGCGUUUACUGACGGACAGAACCUUCUAGUGGCACGUGUGAGCGCAGAAGCUUGGACGCUUCAGAUCUCUUUGGAUCUGUACUUGGUGGUGUCUGAAGUGUCAUCGGCGGCAUACUCGUUUAGCUCCUGCAAGGGCAGUUGAGGCGCAAGCAGAAACUGGCGAAGGCGCAUGGUGGUGAGUCGGAGGGCUGAUGCAAAUCCGGAUCUAUAGGCUGAUGGCGGCGCUUGAUGUAGGGCAAUGAGACUAAAAUUUGACCAAAGGAAAACGCUAGAAAAGACGUUUAUUGAAGGCCACAGAAAAGUAGCUCUGAUACCAUGUUAGAAUGCUUUGAUAGCAUGUUGGAAUAAUUGAGAGAUAUAGAAGAGCGGAAGAAUAAUAGGAAGUGCGGAAGCACACAAUGGACUACAUUGUAUUGAUAUGAAUAUAUGAUAAUGAAUACAGAGACUUCUAUUUAUAAAGAAGCAAGUAACCUAAUAGACUAAGGAAAGGUAAACCUAGUAGACUAAUAAUACUUAAUGAAGUAAAUAAUAAGUAAAUAACCCUAACAUAAUAUUCUUAACAUCGUCAAAGCACUUAGCCCCCAUGAACAUGUUUCAAUGAUGCUUAGUCACCUUUAUCUCCACAGUGAUCUCAGCCAAGGCAAUCCAAGGCAAUUUUAAUCUUCCCAGCAUGCGUUUGCCUGGAAAGUCUUCAAUUCCCCUAUAUUCAUGGCGUGUGGCGUAGACAUGGGUUACAUCUUUAUUGGAUGACUUUUUAUUAAUAGCACAGUGAUAAAUGCCUAUUUAUAGGCCGGCCAUAUGAAUGAAUAAUACAAGGAAUGUAACUCACCUGAUAGGAUAUCUCUAAGAUUUUAACGUGCCUUUCA